CCUACGGGAGGCAGCAGUGAGGAAUAUUGGUCAAUGGUCGGGAGACUGAACCAGCCAAGCCGCGUGAGGGAUGAAGGUACAGAGUAUCGUAAACCUCUUUUGUCAGGGAACAAAGGCGGGGACGUGUCCCCGGAUGAGUGUACCUGAAGAAAAAGCAUCGGCUAACUCCGUGCCAGCAGCCGCGGUAAUACGGAGGAUGCGAGCGUUGUCCGGAUUUACUGGGUGUAAAGGGUGCGUAGGCGGCCCUGCAAGUCAGAAGUGAAAUCCAUGGGCUUAACCCGUGAACUGCUUUUGAAACUGCAGGG
rnacentral:rRNA from 1 species